AUCUCGACUGGUGGGACUCGCUGUGGAAAGUGCACAGAGGGACAUAUGCUGAAGCUUCAAGGUCAGACCCAGGAAGGUGAAGCCGUGUGAGCUUCUUGCCCUGAAGACAGUCUGCUCCAAGGGAGAGGAGA